CCUCUCCUCUACCACUGCUAUGAUGACCACAUUCCCCUCACAGGUGUGCCAGAACUACCUCCAGAACUCAGAGGCCACCAUCAACCGCCAGAUCAACCUGGAGCUCUACGCCUCCUACAUCUGCCUGUCCAUGUCUUACUACUUUGACCGCGAUGAUGCGGCUUUGCAGAAUUUUGCCAAAUACUUUCUUCACCAGUCUCAUGAGGAGAGGGAACAUGCUGAGAAACUGAUGAAGCUGCAGAAUCAAAGAGGUGGCCGAAUCUUCCUUCAGGAUAUCAAGAAACCAGACUGUGAUGACUGGGAGAGCAGGCUGAAUGCAAUGGAGUGUGCAUUGCAACUGGGGAAAAGUGUGAAUCAGUCACUACUGGAACUGCACAAACCGGCCUCUGACGAAAAUGACCCCACUUGUGUAACUUCACUGAGACACGUUCCCAGAAUGAGCAGGUGAAAUCCAUCAAAGAACUGGGUGACCAUGUAACCAACUUGCACAAGAGGGGAGCCUCCAAAUCUGGCCUGGCGAGUAUCUCUUUGACAAGCAUACCCUGGGUGACAGUGACAAUGAGAGCUGCCUUAGGCUGACUUCCCCCUCGCACAGGGGACUUUCCUGGUCACCAGGGCAGUGCAUGUAUGUUGGGGUUUCCUUUACCUUUUCUGUAGUUACCAAAAUAUCCACUUAA